CCUACGGGAGGCAGCAGUGGGGAAUAUUGGGCAAUGGGCGCAAGCCUGACCCAGCAACGCCGCGUGAAUGAAGAAGGCUUUCGGGUUGUAAACUCCUUUUACCAGGGAAGAUUAAAGGACGUUACCUGUGGAAUAAGCCCCGGCUAACUACGUGCCAGCAGCAGCGGUAAUAGGUAGGGGGCAAGCGUUUUCCGGAUUUACUGGGUGUAAAGGGCGUGUAGCCGGGUUGACAAGUCAGAUGUGAAAUCCGGGGGCUUAACCCCAGACUUGCUUUUGAAACUGUUGAUCGUGGGGAAUGGAGAGGCAGACGGAAUUCCAAGUGUAUCGGGGAAAUGGGUAGAUAUUAGGAGGAACACAAGGGGCGAAGGCGGUCUGCGGGACAGCAACUGACGGUGAGGCGCGAAAGCGUGGGGAGCAAACAGGAUUAGAUACCGAGUAGUC
rnacentral:rRNA from 1 species